AAUGGUUAACCGACAUCUGCCACCCGUUGAACUCAAGCCUAGGAAACAUCACGCGAUAAGCUCAACUAGACUGAAGAUAUAUCAAAUGUCAAGAAUCUUAAGAAGGUCUACUUCCGUUGGCAAGGGAUCGAUGGGAUCCUUAAAUUCAAAAAAGCAAAACAUUCGCAGAAUCCAAGACUUGGAAAACUAUAUUGAACUGCUCAAGAAUCGAAAACACAAUAUCUAAUCAUGAAAGAUGGUUUAUAUACAAUUUAUGUCCCGCGAGUGGAAAAUUCUAGAAUUAUGGAAGCAGUUAUGUUUAACAAGGAUUGACCCACGUAAGAGAAGUCACAAUCGAGGCAGUUUAUUUUGUAUAUGACAUUACAUUGUUCCAUUCUUUCUAAUCUGUCUUUACCUAAUUUAAUAAUUGAAUUUUAUCGUAUUCAUUGGUUUGUAAGCUAUUUUGAAAUUUUUUUUUCCGCAAUCAUUUU